rnacentral:tRNA from 1 species
UCUAAUAUGGCAGAAUAGUGCAAUGGACUUAAGCCCCGUAUAUAAAGCCAAUAGCUUUUUUUAGAA